rnacentral:rRNA from 1 species
UACGUAGGUGGCAAGCGUUGUCCGGAUUUACUGGGCGUAAAGAGCGCGCAGGCGGUCGUUCAAGUCGCGUGUGAAAGCCCCCGGCUCAACUGGGGAGGGUCACGCGAUACUGAUCGACUCGAAGGCAGGAGAGGGAAGUGGAAUUCCCGGUGUAGUGGUGAAAUGCGUAGAUAUCGGGAGGAACACCAGUGGCGAAGGCGGCGACCUGGGCCAAUACUGACGCUGAGGUGCGAAAGCGUGGGGAGCAAACAGG